UGGGGCACCCCCUCAUCCUGUAAGAAAAGCAGCUUACUUUCUAAAGCAGGCUCUCACUAGGAUCUCAAACCGGAAGCUGUUGUGACAUAGCUGUCUAUUAAGCUGAGUGGCUUCGUGGCUCAUGGCUCUGCUUCACGGCGAGGUGGCAUCCUAGCUGGAAGGCUACUGAACUGGAAACACUAUCUUCCAUUUUCUCCUGGGAAGAUGGCGUGUACCCCCUUUUCACUGCAAUUCUAACACUCCGUUACAAAGCUCUCACCUACCUUGAAGUCCAGCUAUCCCAAGACCGCCUGUCUGGAGAGACACGCCUUCCGCCUCCUGCCCAUCCCUGCUAAGGGACAGGCAUCUGAUCGAAGC